rnacentral:rRNA from 1 species
UACGGGGGGGGUAAGCGUUGUUCGGAAUUACUGGGCGUAAAGGGCUCGUAGGCGGCCAACUAAGUCGGACGUGAAAUCCCUCAGCUUAACUGGGGAACUGCGUCUGAUACUGGAUGGCUUGGAUUUGGGAGAGGGAUGCGGAAUUCCAGGUGUAGCGGUGAAAUGCGUAGAUAUCUGGAGGAACACCGGUGGCGAAGGCGGCUUCCUGGACACCAACUGACGCUGAGACGCGAAAGCGUGGGGAGCAAACAGG